rnacentral:lncRNA from 1 species
UAGAUUUUCAAUCAUAAGGUGGGCCACACCUUGUCCCAGCACAAUGGAGGCAGAGACAGGUAGACUUUUUAUGGGUUCAAGGCCAGACCCUGUCUCAGAAAAAAUUUUUUUCCAAAAUGCUUUCUCUUAGGUGUACAUUCCUUCCUUCGAUGAGUAAAGUCUAAGUGUAUGACGAUGUACGAUGUAUGUCGGUGAUUAAGUGUACAUUUCUGGUCUAAAUGUUGGUUUGCCCCUGUAAUAAUAGUUUUUAAAACCGAGUUCCAGAGUUUUUGUGGCCACCUACUAUGGCUUGACUGUUCUCAAGUACUUGGCAUUGUCAAACAUUUGCCAUAUGAACUUGAACAGUGUUCAGUUGCCAGUGCAAGGUUUUAACUGUUGUCUAUUACAUCAGCUUGGUGUAGAGCUGCGUGUAUCUUGUUAUUUAGAAACUUCUUGUUGAGCCUUCACUGUACAGUCCUGAGGUUCCUUACUUAUGCUGGGGUGAAAACUUGUGAAAAAUCAACUUCUUUGAAAUUAAAUUAAAAUCUAAUUGUGUAAUUUCCCCUUUACUUUUCUUCAGCCUCUCCCAUGGAACCCACCCUCCCCUUGCAUUCUCAAGCUCAUGACCUCUGGCUUUUGUUGAUGUGAAUAUGUUCAUAAGUAUAUAAUCGGCACAAUAUGUUGUAUGUAUUUCAGCACUGACCCCUGUUACCUGUAGUUGUCUUGGAUUGCCUCCCACCCCCAUGAGUUUCCCCUUCUGGGUUGAUAUCAUCUUUAUUAAAGUCCUGAUUAAACUUU